rnacentral:rRNA from 1 species
GACGAACGCUGGCGGCGUGCUUAACACAUGCAAGUCGAACGGAAAGGCCCUGCUUUUGUGGGGUGCUCGAGUGGCGAACGGGUGAGUAGCACGUGAGUAACCUGCCCUUGACUUUGGGAUAACUUCAGGAAACUGGGGCUAAUACCGGAUAGGAGCUCCUGCUGCAUGGUGGGGGUUGGAAAGUUUCGGCGGUUGGGGAUGGACUCGCGGCUUAUCAGCUUGUUGGUGGGGUAGUGGCUUACCAAGGCUUUGACGGGUAGCCGGCCUGAGAGGGUGACCGGCCACAUUGGGACUGAGAUACGGCCCAGACUCCUACGGGAGGCAGCAGUGGGGAAUAUUGCACAAUGGGCGGAAGCCUGAUGCAGCAACGCCGCGUGCGGGAUGACGGCCUUCGGGUUGUAAACCGCUUUCGCCUGUGACGAAGCGUGAGUGACGGUAAUGGGUAAAGAGGCACCGGCUAACUACGUG